GGGCCGUUAGCUCAUUUGGUAGAGCGUACCCAUGGCAUGGGUAAGGCGACCGGUUCGAAACCGGUACGGUCCACUA
rnacentral:tRNA from 2 species